UUGAACGCUGGCGGCAGGCCUAACACAUGCAAGUCGAACGGUAACAGGAAGCAGCUUGCUGCUUCGCUGACGAGUGGCGGACGGGUGAGUAAUGUCUGGGAAACUGCCUGAUGGAGGGGGAUAACUACUGGAAACGGUAGCUAAUACCGCAUAACGUCGCAAGACCAAAGAGGGGGACCUUCGGGCCUCUUGCCAUCGGAUGUGCCCAGAUGGGAUUAGCUAGUAGGUGGGGUAACGGCUCACCUAGGCGACGAUCCCUAGCUGGUCUGAGAGGAUGACCAGCCACACUGGAACUGAGACACGGUCCAGACUCCUACGGGAGGCAGCAGUGGGGAAUAUUGCACAAUGGGCGCAAGCCUGAUGCAGCCAUGCCGCGUGUAUGAAGAAGGCCUUCGGGUUGUAAAGUACUUUCAGCGGGGAGGAAGGUGUUGAGGUUAAUAACCUCAGCAAUUGACGUUACCCGCAGAAGAAGCACCGGCUAACUCCGUGCCAGCAGCCGCGGUAAUACGGAGGGUGCAAGCGUUAAUCGGAAUUACUGGGCGUAAAGCGCACGCAGGCGGUCUGUCAAGUCGGAUGUGAAAUCCCCGGGCUCAACCUGGGAACUGCAUUCGAAACUGGCAGGCUAGAGUCUUGUAGAGGGGGGUAGAAUUUCCAGGUGUAGCGGUGAAAUGCGUAGAGAUCUGGAGGAAUACCGGUGGCGAAGGCGGCCCCCUGGACAAAGACUGACGCUCAGGUGCGAAAGCGUGGGGGAGCAAACAGGAUUAGAUACUCUGGUAGUCCACGCCGUAAACGAUGUCGACUUGGAGGUUGUGCCCUUGAGGCGUGGCUUCCGGAGCUAACGCGUUAAGUCGACCGCCUGGGGAGUACGGCCGCAAGGUUAAAACUCAAAUGAAUUGACGGGGGCCCGCACAAGCGGUGGAGCAUGUGGUUUAAUUCGAUGCAACGCGAAGAACCUUACCUACUCUUGACAUCCAGAGAACUUAGCAGAGAUGCUUUGGUGCCUUCGGGAACUCUGAGACAGGUGCUGCAUGGCUGUCGUCAGCUCGUGUUGUGAAAUGUUGGGUUAAGUCCCGCAACGAGCGCAACCCUUAUCCUUUGUUGCCAGCGGUUAGGCCGGGAACUCAAAGGAGACUGCCAGUGAUAAACUGGAGGAAGGUGGGGAUGACGUCAAGUCAUCAUGGCCCUUACGAGUAGGGCUACACACGUGCUACAAUGGCGCAUACAAAGAGAAGCGACCUCGCGAGAGCAAGCGGACCUCAUAAAGUGCGUCGUAGUCCGGAUUGGAGUCUGCAACUCGACUCCAUGAAGUCGGAAUCGCUAGUAAUCGUGGAUCAGAAUGCCACGGUGAAUACGUUCCCGGGCCUUGUACACACCGCC
rnacentral:rRNA from 1 species